GGCCUGUGAGGGCGAUCUAGCUUUAUAUCUGCCACCCCAUUGAUUGCCAGGUGAUCGGGAUAGCUAGGUGGGUGUCCCUUUCCUCCUUCACCACACCAUGUGUGCCUGGCUAGAAGCUGGGUGCGUCAUUGAAGAAGAUGAUCUUCCCUAAAUAGAGGAGGAGAAGUCUUAAGCCAAGGACUUACGAGUAGCUGCACUCCCGGGAUGGAAUUUCCAAACAAGCUCAAGGUCCUUUAUUUUUAAAUCCCCGUAUUUCAGGUCCCUGUUUAG
rnacentral:snRNA from 1 species